GGUCAUUUAGAGGAAGUAAAAGUCGUAACAAGGUUUCCGUAGGUGAACCUGCGGAAGGAUCAUUAGUGAAUUUGUUGGAUUUUAAAUCCACACUCUCUCACUUUCUAACCCUGUGAAACUUAACACACUUGGGAUAAUGAUAGGCAACUAUCGUUAUUCAUUUUAUAUUUACAAACAUUUGAAAAGUUGAAGAAUGUCUUUAAAAUAUAACAAAUAAAAACUUUCAACAACGGAUCUCUUGGCUCUCGCAUCGAUGAAGAACGCAGCAAAUUGCGAUAAGUAAUGUGAAUUGCAGAAUUCAGUGAAUCAUCGAAUCUUUGAACGCACCUUGCACUCUCUGGUAUUCCGGAGAGUAUGCCUGUUUGAGUGUUAUGAAAUCUCUCAACACUACAUUUUUCAUUAUGAACUGUGUAGUGAUUGGAUUCUGAGUGUUGCUGGUUAGUUUUCUAACGAAGCUCAUUCGAAAUAUAAUAGCAUAUCUCUGCUCUUUAGUCGGAUUGACUUGGCGUAAUAAGAAACAUUUCGCUAAGGAUACCUUUGGGUAGCCGACUCUAGAUUUGCAUGAGUAGCUUCUAAUAUACCUUUUCUAUUCAUAAUUUGACCUCAAAUCAGGUAGGACUACCCGCUGAC
rnacentral:rRNA from 1 species